rnacentral:rRNA from 1 species
UACGAGGGGGGCAAGCGUUGUUCGGAAUUAUUGGGCGUAAAGGGUGCGUAGGCGGUUUGAUAAGUCAUCUGUGAAAUCUCUGGGCUCAACCCCAAGAGUCUGCAGGCGAAACUGUCGGGCUUGAGUAUGGGGAGAGGUGAGUGGGAAUUUCCGGUGUAGCGGUGAAAUGCGUAGAUAUCGGAAGGAACACCUGUGGCGAAAGCGGCUCACUGGACCAUAACUGACGCUGAUGCACGAAAGCUAGGGGAGCAAACAGG